rnacentral:lncRNA from 1 species
UUUUAAUUGUUUUACAUAUAUUAAUGCUUAUAAUGUUUCUCCAACUCUAUGAUAGGUAGAUUGUUAUCAGCCGGAUUUGCAAAGGAGAAAAGCUACCUGAUGUCACAAAGUAGGAAAGUAGGCAAGACCUUGACUGUCUGGCUGCAGAGUUGGAUUCCUAAUAAUUUCUGGGAGUUAUAUCUCUCUCAUCUUCAUAGUCUCAGAACCUAGCACGUAGUAGGCAUUCAAUGAAUGCUUAUUGAACUGAGCAGAAUGCUCAGAGUAAUAGAUUACCAGUAGUGCGAGCCCAGCAGUUUUUAUUGGUGUCUAAAAUGUGACACCAGGGUCAUUCAGUUGAAUAGAACAUAGGGCUGUGGGAAUGAAAAGAUAAGAGAAACAAGGAAAUUAAACGUUGAUGAACACUCACUGUAAAAGGGUUGGGGUUCAGAGCGAAUGUGGGAUAUCUGGGCAGAGGGUUUUAUUUUUCUUGUACGGUUCCACUGGCUCUCCCCUUCCUCUGAGUAGGGUCUCUAUAGCUGAGAAUAAUUCAUGCUUUAUUUAAAACCCGCUCUGUGCAUGCUGGCCCCGGCAGUAAUUCUCUCAUUAUAUUCCAGGUUUCUUUUUAAUCAUGUUCUGGGUAAAUGAGUAAAAUUCCUCACUUGGGCCAAAGGUUGGACCUCCUAUAAUGAUAAGAAGAUUUCCAGGAUAUGUGAAUGAUCUCCAGCCUGAGCUAUCAGCUUUCUGCUGGUCCCAAUUUUUAAAAGAAUAUAAUAGUCCCGCCCGCCUAUUAUCGCUGUGUUCUGUUUGUGGUUAUCUCCGCCCUGAGGAAAGGAGAGGAGCUUCGCUGUGAUUUGCGCCCUCAUUCAGCAAAACCUCCGCGCUAGCCAGAGUUAGCCACGUGUCCUCAGAACCAAGAGACCUUGAAGCUGCUCUUCAGGGCCGGACACCAGCAAGCGCCGAACGACUCGUCCCUGGGGAAAGUUACUAGAGCGUUUUUUUUUCUUUUUUGGUUAUUUAGUUUUGAUUUAUUAAAUAAAGCUUUGGAACCAAUAGGAUCA